GAGAGGGAGAGAGAGGCAUGGAGGUAGAGAGAGAAACUGGCAGGAGAGACUGCGGUGGAAGCAGAAAAGGGCUUAUUGGAUCCAGCUGCAGAGCGACAGCAGCUGGAUCUGAUCUACCAUCAGCGCCAGAUAAAGACCUGCUCGUCCCUCCAGUCACCGCCAGAUCCUAGCGUCUGCUACAGAGAGAAUGCUGUCUGUUGCCCUCAGUCCUGCCGUUCCAGCCGUCACCUGGAACAUGGUUUCCUGCCCCUCGCCUCAGUAAGGGGCUUCGGACCCUGCUUGCUCCGCCCAGCCGAUCUGUCGGGUGAUCUGGACGCCGGUUUCCCGCCGUGGCUCCUCACUGCAUGACUUGCAGCUCCGACAUGCGUCCCCUGGACCGUCGGUUCAUGAGCCUGCCUGCACCCACCGAUUAAAGUUAGGUAUUUCUACCUCAGCCGUUUAGUUAAGUUGAAUAACCAACCGCCCUUAGUUUCAGUGUCAGCCCAGUUCGUUGGUUAAAUUAAUUUGGCUUCGAGAUUGUUGUUUAGUCUUUACUGUAGUGAAUGUAGUUUGGUUUGAGUUGGGCUUCUCAGUUCUGUUUGGAUCUGUGGUUUGUGAAUAAACUGCUGGUGAAAUUCCACUAGUCCUGCCUGUUUCUGUGUGCCUG